UACGGGGGGGGCGAGCGUUGUUCGGAAUUACUGGGCGUAAAGGGCUCGUAGGCGGCCAACUAAGUCAUACGUGAAAUCCCUCAGCUUAACUGGGGAACUGCGUGUGAUACUGGAUGGCUUGGAUUUGGGAGAGGGAUGCGGAAUUCCAGGUGUAGCGGUGAAAUGCGUAGAUAUCUGGAGGAACACCGGAGGCGAAGGCGCCUGCCUGGCAGUGUAUUGACGCUGAGGUGCGAAAGUGCGGGGAGCAAACAGG
rnacentral:rRNA from 1 species